UACGAAGGGGGCGAGCGUUGUUCGGAUUUACUGGGCGUAAAGGGCGCGCAGGCGGCGAUUUUUGUCAGGCGUGAAAGCCCCGGGCUCAACCUGGGAACUGCGUUUGAUACGGGAUUGCUAGAGAUCGGGAGAGGAGAGUGGAAUUCCCAGUGUAGAGGUGAAAUUCGUAGAUAUUGGGAAGAACACCGGUGGCGAAGGCGGCUCACUGGCUCAUUUCUGACGCUCAGGCGCGACAGCGUGGGGAUCGAAACAGG
rnacentral:rRNA from 1 species